AGAGUUUGAUCCUGGCUCAGAACGAACGCUGGCGGCGUGCCUAACACAUGCAAGUCGAACGAGAAAGUUCCUUCGGGGACGAGUACAGUGGCGCACGGGUGAGUAACGCGUGAGUAACCUGCCCUCAAGUCCGGGAUAACCCCCGCCGAAAGGUGAGCUAAUACCGGAUAAGACCACGAAUCAUAAGGUUAGUGGUAAAAGGUGGCCUCUAUUUAUAAGCUAUUGUUUGGGGAUGGGCUCGCGGACCAUUAGCUAGUUGGUGGGGUAACGGCCUACCAAGGCUACGAUGGUUAGCUGGUCUGAGAGGAUGAUCAGCCACACUGGCACUGAGACACGGGCCAGACUCCUACGGGAGGCAGCAGUGGGGAAUAUUGCGCAAUGGGGGAAACCCUGACGCAGCAACGCCGCGUGGAGGAUGAAGGCUUUCGGGUCGUAAACUCCUGUCAAGUGGGAAGAAAUGCUUAUUGGUUAAUAUCUGAUAGGUUUGACGGUACCAUUGGAGGAAGCAUCGGCUAACUACGUGCCAGCAGCCGCGGUAAUACGUAGGAUGCAAGCGUUGUUCGGAAUUAUUGGGCGUAAAGAGCGUGUAGGCGGCUCUGUAAGUCAUUGGUGAAAUCCCUCGGCUCAACCGGGGAACGUGCCCUCGAUACUGCAUGGCUUGAGUGCGAGAGAGGAGAGUGGAAUUCCCCAGUGUAGCGGUGAAAUGCGUAGAUAUUGGGAAGAACACCCAGUGGCGAAAGGCGGCUCCUCUGGACCGUUACUGACGCUGAGACGCGAAAGCUAGGGGAGCGAACGGGAUUAGAUACCCCGGUAGUCCUAGCCCUAAACGAUGGGCACUAGGUGUAGGAGGUGUCGACCCCUCCUGUGCCGUAGCUAACGCAUUAAGUGCCCCGCCUGGGGAGUAUGGUCGCAAGGCUGAAACUCAAAGGAAUUGACGGGGGCCCGCACAAGCGGUGGAGCAUGUGGUUUAAUUCGACGCAACGCGAAGAACCUUACCUGGGCUUGAACUGUACUCGAAGACACCAGAAACGGUGUUGUGCUUCGGCACGGGUAUAGAGGUGCUGCAUGGCUGUCGUCAGCUCGUGUCGUGAGAUGUUGGGUUAAGUCCCGCAACGAGCGCAACCCUCGCCCUCUGUUGCCAGCGGGUUAUGCCGGGGACUCUAGGGGAACUGCCGGUGCUAAACCGGAGGAAGGUGGGGAUGACGUCAAGUCCUCAUGGCCCUUAUGCCCAGGGCUACACACGUGCUACAAUGGUAUGUACAAAGAGUUGCGAACUCGCGAGGGUAAGCUAAUCUCAUAAAACAUAUCUCAGUUCGGAUAGGAGUCUGCAACUCGACUCCUUGAAGUUGGAAUCGCUAGUAAUCGCAGAUCAGCAUGCUGCGGUGAAUACGUUCCCGGGCCUUGUACACACCGCCCGUCACACCAUGAGAGUUGAUGGUACCAGAAGUCGGUGGACCAACUUUUCGGAGAGGUAGCCGCCUAAGGUAUGGCUGGUGAUUGGGGUGAAGUCGUAACCAAGGUAACCC
rnacentral:rRNA from 1 species